CUCUGGCAAUCUGAAGAAGGAAUCUCAUUUCUUUGUGGUUAUUUUAGUACCUUUGAAUCCCGGUAAUGAACGAGUUGUCUGCUGACCAGGCAUCCCAGACAGCCUCUCCCUGCACCAUGAAGACUCAUCUCAUUUUAUGGGCCAUCAAAAGCUCUACAGUACUUCUCAAGCAAUAGGUUCAAGAUGACAUAUUCCACAACUUAUGGAAUAACUACUUGGGAAGUCAAAACUCACCACAUUGCUCUUUCCAGAUGAGGAAGAGAAUAAUCUGAAUUUUUUUAAUGAGGGAGACUGUUCUCCAGGUCAUUUUUCAGUCUCUUCCACCAGUUCUGGGGAAAAGACCCUCAAAAUGAGGACUCCAAAUUGCAGCCCCACUCCAGGUGUGAUAUGACCCACAAACAACCCACCAGGACUGGAAUAUCACUGAUCUACGUUCGGUCAACCUUCAAUACAGCCCACGAUGGUCAUCUCUUUUAGCAGGCAAGGCCUCCCGCUUUAAGGCAAAGUAACAACUCGGGAAUUUUUCAUGUAAAUUUCCUCCCAGCAAGUUGACUCCCAUCCUAUAUACUCAAGGUCAUCUUUUUGAACCUAUCAUAUUUAAUCUUGUUAUCUUAAGUAGAGGCCAGAAAGUCAAGGCUUUAAUCUUAGUCCUAUUAACCAUGGCUCAACUACUUCAGUUCAGUUCAGUCACUCUGACUCUUUGUGACCCCAUGGAUUGCAGCGUGCCAGGCUUCCCUGUCCAUUCAGCUACUUCUUCCUCCCCUAACUUUUCU